rnacentral:rRNA from 1 species
GACGAACGCUGGCGGCGUGCUUAACACAUGCAAGUAGAGCGGAGCGGCGAACGGGUGAGUAACGCGUGAGUAACUGCCCCCCUCUCUGGGAUAACAGUUGGAAACGGCUGCUAAUACCGGAUAGUGGGGGAUGACCCGCGUCCUAUCAGCUUGUUGGUGGGGUAGUGGCCUACCAAGGCGACGACGGGGAGCCGGCCUGAGAGGGCGACCGGCCACGUUGGGCUGAGAUAGGGCCCAAACGCCUACGGGAGGCAGCAGUGGGGGAUAUUGCACAAGGGGCGCAAGCCGAAUGCAGCGAACCGCGAGAGGUAUGAAGGCUUUCGGGUUGUAAACCUCUUUCGGACAGGACAGGGUAUGUGCAGAAGAAGCGCCGGCUAACUACGUGCCAGCAGCCGCGGUAAUUC